rnacentral:rRNA from 1 species
UACGUAGGGGGCGAGCGUUGUCCGGAAUUAUUGGGCGUAAAGCGCGCGCAGGUGGUUUCUUAAGUCUGAUGUGAAAGCCCACGGCUCAACCGUGGAGGGUCAUUGGAAACUGGGAGACUUGAGUGCAGAAGAGGAAAGUGGAAUUCCAAGUGUAGCGGUGAAAUGCGUAGAGAUUUGGAGGAACACCAGUGGCGAAGGCGACUUUCUGGUCUGUAACUGACGCUGAGGCGCGAAAGCGUGGGGAGCGAACAGG